UACGGGGGGAGCAAGCGUUGUCCGGAAUCAUUGGGCGUAAAGCGCGCGUAGGCGGUCCGGUAAGUCCGCUGUGAAAGUCGGGGGCUCAACCCUCGGAUGCCGGUGGAUACUGUCGGGCUUGAGUGCGGAAGAGGCGAGUGGAAUUCCUGGUGUAGCGGUGAAAUGCGCAGAUAUCAGGAGGAACACCAAUUGCGAAGGCAGCUCGCUGGGACGUUACUGACGCUGAUGCGCGAAAGCGUGGGGAGCAAACAGG
rnacentral:rRNA from 1 species